ACGGGAGGCAGCAGUGGGGAAUAUUGGACAAUGGGGGAAACCCUGAUCCAGCGACGCCGCGUGAGUGAAGAAGUAUUUCGGUAUGUAAAGCUCUAUCAGCAAGGAAGAAAAUGACGGUACUUGACUAAGAAGCUCCGGCUAAAUACGUGCCAGCAGCCGCGGUAAUACGUAUGGAGCAAGCGUUAUCCGGAUUUACUGGGUGUAAAGGGAGCGUAGACGGUAUGGCAAGUCUGAAGUGAAAGCCCGGGGCUCAACCCCGGGACUGCUUUGGAAACUGUUAAACUAGAGUGUCGGAGAGGCAAGUGGAAUUCCUAGUGUAGCGGUGAAAUGCGUAGAUAUUAGGAGGAACACCAGUGGCGAAGGCGGCUUGCUGGACGAUGACUGACGUUGAGGCUCGAAAGCGUGGGGAGCAAACAGGAUUAGAUACCCUGGUA
rnacentral:rRNA from 1 species